UGCAUCGGCCGGGAAUCGAACCCGGGCCCGCGUGGCAGGCGAGCAUUCUAUCACUGAACCACCGAUGG